UGGGGAAUAUUGGACAAUGGGCGAAANCCUGAUCCAGCCAUGCCGCGUGUGUGAAGAAGGUCUUCGGAUUGUAAAGCACUUUAAGUUGGGAGGAAGGGCAGUUACCUAAUACGUGAUUGUUUUGACGUUACCGACAGAAUAAGCACCGGCUAACUCUGUGCCAGCAGCCGCGGUAAUACAGAGGGUGCAAGCGUUAAUCGGAAUUACUGGGCGUAAAGCGCGCGUAGGUGGUUAGUUAAGUUGGAUGUGAAAUCCCCGGGCUCAACCUGGGAACUGCAUUCAAAACUGACUGACUAGAGUAUGGUAGAGGGUGGUGGAA
rnacentral:rRNA from 1 species